AUCAUCCAGACUUGAAACAUAUCGACCCAGUGGUUUUAAAACAUUGUCAUGCAGCAGCUGCAACUUACAUACUAGAGGCAGGAAAGCACCGAGCUGACAAGUCAACUCUAAGCACUUAUCUAGAAGACUGUAAAUUUGACAGAGAGCGAAUAGAACUGUUUUGCACGGAAUAUCAGUAUAGGCAGAUCGCUCCCUCAUAUAACGGAUGUUUCUUGGCGCUUGGAAUAUCAGAUAAAGACCAAUCAACUUCAUAGGAUGUACAGACCUGCAUAUUUGGUGACCUUAAGUGUACAGAACACUGAUUCCCCAUCCUAUCCAGAGAUUAGUUUUAGUUGCAGCAUGGAACAAUUACAGGACUUGGUGGGGAAACUUAAAGAUGCUUCGAAAAGCCUGGAAAGAGCAACUCAGUUGUAACUUGGGGAAGUUAACGAUCCGCCCGAGUGCAGAGGAAAACCAGAGACGCCUUGCCUUCAGCUGAACCACCGUUUGUGCGAGCUGGAUGUCCUUUUCAGUAGAAAAGAAUUUUCUUUUUGAAUUUAUGCCAUUCAUCAAUUUUGACACUUUAAAAACAUGUGUGAAAGGGUUAAGAGGGAAAGAUACUGCCCAAGUAUUUGAAUCGUUUAGUAGUAACUGUCCAUUUAUCCUAUUUUGAUCUUUUUCAAGUCUUCUGAAAGGAAGUAGACAGUAUUACACCCUGAAUAAAUAAGGUGGUGUUUUCCACAAA
rnacentral:sRNA from 1 species